rnacentral:rRNA from 1 species
UACGUAGGGUGCAAGCGUUGUCCGGAAUUAUUGGGCGUAAAGAGCUCGUAGGCGGUUUGUCGCGUCUGCUGUGAAAACUCAGGGCUUAACCCUGAGCCUGCAGUGGGUACGGGCAGGCUAGAGUGUGGUAGGGGAGAUCGGAAUUCCUGGUGUAGCGGUGAAAUGCGCAGAUAUCAGGAGGAACACCGGUGGCGAAGGCGGAUCUCUGGGCCAUUACUGACGCUGAGGAGCGAAAGCGUGGGGAGCGAACAGG